GGAAGAAGAGCAGAGAGACCAGGCCACUAAAAGGGGACAUUUGGAGUUCUCUGCAACUCUGCUCUGGAGGCUGCAAGGCCAGCUUGGGCCACCAGGUCUGAGGAUACCCACAGUUUAGCUUUCAUCCGGGACCAAAAUGGCUGAAGCUGACCACAGAUCACCAUGGAGACCAGAACAGACCAAAGCCCACAACAAACUGGUUAUGGCCUGAUCAGGCCACUGCCUCCCAAGCAGACCUGUCUCCUUGUUUUCUGGGUUUAGUUCCCUUUGGGUCUCUAGUGUCCAGUAAUGUUUCCCCAAAGUUCCCUCAGCUUCAGCUCAUCAAAGCAAAGAAUAAUGGUGUCCCGGGUCACUGAUGUUGACAAGGGGACACAGAACGAACUAGGCUUACAAGUUCCGUGAGCCCAGUCUGCCUGCGAAUGUUCUUCUGGGCUCUGUUUUUAUUAGGGGUGAGGUUAGUCUACUUCCCAUCUCCAGCUCUUUCACGCCUCAGUGAUACAAGGGCCACCCGGAACAUUCAGCUCAAGGAAACAGUUCCCCAGGAUCUGGACGUGGCCGCCACCUCCCGCAAGAAUGGCAGGAUUCGUGUGUCGUCUUUUCUCAAAUAAAAUGAUUUAACUG